rnacentral:lncRNA from 1 species
AUGAUCCCUUCUCCAAUGGCUUUGCCUUCCAGAUGUCUCCUCCAAUGGCUUUGCCUUCCAGAUGAUCCCUUCUCCAAUGGAUUUGCCUUCCAGAUGAUCCCUUCUCCAAUGGCUCUGCCUUCCAGAUGCCUCCUUCAACAGCUUUGCCUUCCAGAUGAUGCCUUCUCCAACGGCUUUGCCUUCCAGAUGCCUUCUCCACCCCUGCCCCAGGACUCCCAUCCCAUCCCCGCAGCCGGCAGCCUAUGUCGCUAAUCAGCUGGAGUAACAGCAUUUCCAUCAGCCAAAGAGAGAUCUUCACAAUAAGAACAAGUUUUUGGCCUAGCACAAGCUCUCCUACAGCUAAACCUGUACCUAAUCCCACCAAGAACAGAAACCAGGGUUAAUACAGUAAAUGCUGCUGUUAGUUACCAUCCAAGUCUUACAUGAGUUUUCUUCACGUCUCAGAACAUUUAGUAGAUUGCUUGUUAAAAGGGGAGAAAUAAUUCAUACAGGAACAAUAGUUAAAUACGGACCUUGGAGUUACUAAGUACAGUAGUUUCUCUUUUACAAAUGAUAGUAGUGCCACCGUGCUGGAGAGCACAGUGACACGACGGCAAGGAAAGCAGAGACUGGCUUUUAUGACACUAUUUACAGAUUUUCCAUUUAAAAAACUGCCGAGUUGGAUUAAAUAUAAGUAUAGAACAUUUCUCCCAUAUACAAACUCUUGUUAGCUGAUUAAUUAUUAAGGUGCUCGGAAGUGUGGAUGAAAACAGAAGUUACAGUAGAUCACUUGUGUUCGUGUCUAUUUACAAACCGCGCUCGGUUGCCUGCUGACACCAGCAUCUUCCAAAGAAGCAGAGUGGCCAGUUACGUGUCUAACGCCACAGGAACUGCUGUUUUCUUCACAGCAUCUUUGUCAGAAGGUAAAAUAGUAGCAUUUCAUUCCUUUUUUAAUUAGCAAAGCUGGGUGCCCUUGCUGAGUCUGUGUAGCUGGUGGUGCCAGGCAGCAUCACACCGUGAGACACCCUGUUUCUAGCUCUCGACAGAAUUUGCUGAUCUGCUGGGCCUCAGACAGGACCCGCAGCACCGGGUUCUUCCACUGAAACGCAUCGUGCGGGGCCUCCUAAGCCCUUGGAGAGCUCCGGUCUACCCCGAGCAACAGGAGGGAGAAUUUACGCGCAAGGAACCAAACAAGAAUGCGCUUAGCACAAAUUUUGUCUUCCAAUCAGAAAAAAUAAAACAAAAUCCCAAGUGGCCCAUAUUUUGUAGGUCGAAUUCUUGCCCCAUUAACAUUCUUGAAGAGUUCUUUUCUGUCUGAUGGCCAAACUCUACCUCUAGUUCCAUUCUCUGCUGACUCCGUACCGCCUGUACUCACACAGGUGCCUCAGAGGAGCUCAAAGUUUGGCGUUUUGGGAACCCGUCAAACCAGGAGGGUAUCUGACCAUAAUGAA